CCUACGGGGAGCAGCAGUGGGGAAUAUUGCACAAUGGGGGAAACCCUGAUGCAGCGACGCCGCGUGAGUGAUGAAGUAUUUCGGUAUGUAAAGCUCUAUUAGCAGGGAAGAUAAUGACGGUACCUGACUCAGAAGCUCCGGCUAAAUACGUGCCAGCAGCCGCGGUAAUACGUAUGGAGCCAGCGUUAUCCGGAUUUACUGGGUGUAAAGGGAGCGCAGACGGCAGGGCAAGUCUGAUGUGAAAGUCCGGGGCUCAACCCCGGGACUGCAUUGGAAACUGUCCGGCUAGAGUGCAGGAGAGGUAAGUGGAAUGCCUAGUGUAGCGGUGAAAUGCGUAGAGAUCGUACAGAACACCGAUUGCGAAGGCAGCUUACCAAGCUACUUCUGACGUUGAGGCACGAAAGCGUGGGGAGCAAACAGGAUUAGAUACCCCUGUAGUC
rnacentral:rRNA from 1 species